CCUACGGGAGGCAGCAGUGAGGAAUAUUGCGCAAUGGGGGCAACCCUGACGCAGCGACGCCGCGUGGAUGAUGAAGGCCUUCGGGUCGUAAAAUCCUGUCGGAUGGAAAGAAGUGUUAUGUGGCUAAUAUCCAUGUAG
rnacentral:rRNA from 1 species